CAGCGCCGCCCCAAAAGGCUGUAGGUGCCCGGGUGCAGAGCGCCGCGGGAGCGCUGGGCGCUGGAGCGAGGUGGGGCGGAGAGGGCGUCGAGCAUUAGACGUCCGGAAAGCACUUCCCCACCUCUGGGAAGGUGGACACGGCGGCGGGACCAAGAAGGUCAGUCAGUGCUGGGUCCCGAGACUUCGGGGCGCUGACGCCACUGCGGAGAGGCAGAGGCGUGGACCAGAUGAUCUCCCGUCCCCGCCCCCCCCUCCCCCCGGGCCACCCGAGCAGCCCCCGCGUGCCUCCGGCCGCCCGGGGUGGGUGUCUCAGCCCCCUCGAGGGCGGGCUGCAGCCAGUGCAGUGGGGAGGCGCCGAGGGGUUGCAGCCUCUCGGGUUGCCCUUUCGCCAAAUCCGGGCACCGAGUUGUGUAAAUGAGGCCGAGCUCAUUUGCAUUGCAUGCUAAUGAGCAGAUCCCUUAAGUGCCUUUCCCUCCUGGCGGGAGUCUCUGCUCUCAUUCCGUGUGUGCCGCGCCAGGCUUGAACUCUCAGCGGUCUUCUGGGAGAGGGGCCUAUUUAUGGUUCACUCCACGUGUCUGACACCUUCAUCCCUCCCGCAGGUCCGCAGUCUGCCUGGUCGGCCUGCCCUUCCCCCACAGUGUCAAGAAGCCCCAGGGCUGGCACCAGGACGUAGGGACUUUAAUCAUCCCCUCUUUGCAGAGGGUACAAUGAGCCCAGAGAGGCUUGCCCAGCCCAGUGGUCAAGUUUCCUGGUGGUCAGCAGGUCCCACACCUCCAUCCAUCAUCCAGGCCACCCCUGUCUCUGGGCUGAGCUCUAUUCUAGAGCAUACCCAGGAAGGUGGCAGGGUGUGGGGCAGACACAUUUACCUCCCUGGCCUUGGGACCUGGGGUGACCUGCCCCCUAAAGCAUCCUGAUCCCUGGGUGGGGGCACCAGGGGACCCCGCCUCAGAUGCUCUCUUAGCCUGAGUGGGUAAGGGGAGAAGGGAAGCAAGACCUACAGAGAAGGCAAAAAAAAAGGGUGAAACCCUCUUUAACUCCUACCUUCCAAGUCUCAGCUCCACCAUCACCUCCUCAGAAUGGCCUUUUUCAGCAAGUAUUGCAGUGCUUACUAAGUGUCAAGGUGCUGAGGACACAGUACAGAGCUAGACAAGAAUCUGGAACCUCAAAGGCUUCACCCAGACUCGGAUUAUAGGUUUAUGUUUGUAGUAAUGAAACCCCCCUCUAGGCUCUAUGUUCCCUCGGGCAAGACUUUAUGUCCAUUUUGCUCACCAGAGCCUGGUCCCAUGUUUGGCACAUAGUAGGUACUUAAUAAAUCUUUAUUAGAUGAAUAACCUUAGGCAGGGAGGAGAAUGAGAGGGACAAGAAAUUCCUUUCCUUGGGCCUCAGUUUCCUAACAAAGAAGUUAGGCCUAAGUGUGUCUAAGAUGUCCUCUGGGUUUGAGGGAGAGCCUUCAUACCUGCUCUGCCAGCCCCACCAGCCCCCUCCAACCGUCUCCCCCUUACACCUCCUUCACAGCCUGGCUGGCUCCCUCAGGAACUGAGAUAAUCUUCCCAUCUCUGACAUGCUCUGCUCAGCGAUGACACAUCAUUCCAUGUAGUCACCUCACAGCCUUGGGAGUUGGGUGGAGGUCGUCCCAUUUUUUGGAUAAGAAAACUGAGGCUUGGGGAGAUGACCUUAUUUCAGUGACUUCUCAAACUGGGAGGUCCUGUCUCCAAUGGCACUGGCCCACAGCUCCUCCAGAACAGCCCCUGCUGGCUGAGCGAGGAGCGGAUGCAAGCGGGACCAGCAAAGGCUGCAGACUUUAAAAAUCCCGUAUCUGAGCAAGACUUACGUUCAGCUUUGUCCUAGUCAGAAAAUGCUAGCUCUCCCGGGAGCCCUAACCCUUUAAGGCCCUAACUGCUUCCUUUGAACCUGUUACAGGAUCCCUUUCUCAAGCACAUGCCUGGUAUCAGAGGAAGGGAACUGAGGACACACAGAGCAGAGUGAAGGCUGGCUAGAGAGGUAGGAAACACCAAAUGCACCUCCUUUCACAACUGUGCCUGCACCUCCUGGAGGAAGAGGAAGGUUCAGCAGUUUUUACUGUACCCUGAAGGCCCCAGAAAGAACCAGAUGUGAUGAGUGGUCGCAGGUCCAUCUGUUACCCUCCCUGGGACUUGAAUAUCUAACCAUCGAAGGCCAAAGGUACCUGCCUCACUGCCUCAUUCGUAUGGGUCAAUGAGACGGACGCAGAGGGUUUUGCAAACUGCCCAGACUUUCCAGAGCCAGGGCUGGGGCUGCCAAAAAGGCCACCUGUGCUUCACCACACUCCAUCCUCCCUCCUCACUGCCCACCCCCCCUCCCCAGACCCGGCUCCACUGGCCCAGUCCUCAGACUUCCUGGCCAACACUGAGCAGGCUCUAGCCAGAAAAGGGCCAGCUGACCUUGUUGGCCAGAGCCCUAAUCCCCUCCAGAUGGGCCAAGGUGGCUUGCACCACCAAAAGCUGCCCAGCCAAAGCUGACCCUGGUCCCACUGAGCAUGUGUGGCUGUGUGUGACCAUGUGCAGACCUUGCAGUGACAGUCCGGUCUCCCACUCCUCCCCACUGCUGACAUCCGCACAAACAGUGGCCCCACUCCAGUCUCGCCUCCAACAGCCUCUUCUGUCUGUCUGUACUGGGUGGCUCUGGGGCUGCGACAGUGCCCAGGCUCAGCAGACCCCUGAAGGGUGUGGGGAGGGAGAAGCUCCUCCCNGGAGGGGUGGGGGGGGGGAGACCCCCCCCCCCCCCCCCCCCCCCCGCCUGUCAGCCUCAUCCCGCUGCACCUGCCCUU
rnacentral:lncRNA from 1 species